AAAGUUAUUUUUUAAAUAUUAUUUAAGAUUUUUUUAUUUAUGCAUUUUUAAAUAAGUAUUAAUUUAUUAUUUGUUAUAAAAGUCUGUAAAUCGGAUAUUGGAAUGCUAUAUCUGGAAUAUGCAUGGUCCUCCAUCACCGUUGGUAGAGAAUUAUCUGUGGGAAGCGAGUUUUUGGCACGUGGCGACAGUAGGCUUGGGAUGCAAGUUGGACCCGAAACUUAUCAGUGCAUUGGUUGAGAGGUGGAGACCUGAGACGCACACAUUUCAUUUUCCAUGUAGAGAGUGCACUAUCACUUUGGAAGAUGUCAAUCUGCAAUUCGAUUGCCGGUGGACGGGUACCCAAUAAUCGGGUCUGUUCAAUCUGGUGAUUGGGGAGCGGUGUGCUACGAGCUUUUGGGCGCUAUUCCAGAGAAAAUUAACAGAGGUCAAAUCGGGAUGGGCUGGUUACGAGACAUAUUCCCGGAUCCGAAUGAUGAUUCAACCGAAGUAGAAAGAAUCUGAAAUGCUCGGACAUACAUUCUUCAGAUAAUUAGGGGUUAUCUAAUGCCGGACUUGUCACGGAACCUCGUACAUCUAAGAUAGCUGCUGAAACUCGUUGAUUUUAGAGUAGCUGGUGAAUUGAGUUGGGGGUCUGCCGUGUUGGCAACAUUAUAUCGAAAGAUGUGCGGGGCGACGCGACUGAGUAAAGCAAAAAUCGGAGGUUGUCUGUCACUACUGCAGUUAUGGGCAUGGUUUCGCUUUCCAUUUUACGUCCUCGAGUGGACCACCCAUAUACAUUCUCACUCAUAACGAGGUGGAACCAUUCGACAAGUUAUCCUCGAUUACCUACCUCUCUUGAAGAUAUACGGCUUCUAUUGGACCAACGGUUGGAAGCAUAAUUUGAAUGGACACCAUACGAGGAUCCGGUAAUUCAGGCAGUAAUUUCGGAUGAGUACUUCCAAAAUCGAAACGGUUGGCAUGUGAAAGUCUCAUUGGUCAACUUUGCGACUGUGGAGCUGCACUAGUCGGACAAAGUAUUACGGCAAUUUGGAUUCCGACAACCGAUUCUCGUGGCACCUGAGGUGUUGGAUGAUCAUCACAAAAUCGACCUACGGCAAUUGCAUACGGAUUGACCGAGAUUCUGGUCACACUACAUCCAAUUGUGGGAAGAUCGGUAUGACUAUAUACCUACUCAAAAACCGAUCAUCGUUCCAGAAUUAGUGUGUGUGUCGGAAUACAUGACAUGGUUUAGGAUCAAUGAGAAGCCGUAUUUACUCUCUCCAGAGGAGAGGCAGCGGCAAUUGCAUGUCCAAAGGGAAUGACGUGACCUUUUAAAUACAAGAAUAAUGGAUGACGACACAGGCCCAUCAACAAGGCCCAGAAAUUCACCCGGCCCAUCAUCAGCGUCCAUAACUUCAUCAAGCCCAGCAACAACACCGACACAGUCACCCGACCCAGUAGUUCAAUUGACGAUACCCACGGUACAGCCUUUUCAGAUGAUGUCAGGUGCGUAUCCUAGCCCUUUUAUGUAUCCUAACCCUUAUAUGUUUCCUUUUUCUAGUCUCAUGGCAGGUUAGAGUCAAUGGCCCGGUUCAUCUCCAUUUUCGACUACGCUGAUUGGACCACCGAUGUAUAGGCCAUCGUCGCAGGAGGGAUUGCAAGAGGGGCCGUCAAAAAACUCUUCUUUUUACUAAACGCCAUCACCGUAUGGGUUUCAAACACCUUCGUCGUUGGUGAUGCAAACACCUCCACAUUCACUAUUCUAUCAAGGUGGCUCAUCGUCCCAACACCGACAACUAGAUCCCCAACCGGAUGAAUCAGAAUCCCCACCGGAGCAACCACAACCCCUGCUGGAAGCUGGACAAAGAAGGAAUCCAGCACGUAACGUCGACGACCGCCAUGUGGCAUUGAAUCCGGUGGGCACAGAAAUUGAUUUUUAUUUUAAAAUAUUUGUACAAAAUAGUUUAUAUUA